ACACAUGCAAGUCGAGCGGUAGCACAGAGAAGCUUGCUUCUUGGGUGACGAGCGGCGGACGGGUGAGUAAUGCAUAGGAAUCUGCCCGAUAGUGGGGGAUAACCUGGGGAAACCCAGGCUAAUACCGCAUACGUCCUACGGGAGAAAGGGGGCUCCGGCUCCCGCUAUUGGAUGAGCCUAUGUCGGAUUAGCUAGUUGGUGAGGUAAAGGCUCACCAAGGCGACGAUCCGUAGCUGGUCUGAGAGGAUGAUCGGCCACAUCGGGACUGAGACACGGCCCGAACUCCUACGGGAGGCAGCAGUGGGGAAUAUUGGACAAUGGGCGCAAGCCUGAUCCAGCCAUGCCGCGUGUGUGAAGAAGGCCUUCGGGUUGUAAAGCACUUUCAGCGAGGAAGAACGCCUAGCGGUUAAUACCCGCUAGGAAAGACAUCACUCGCAGAAGAAGCACCGGCUAACUCCGUGCCAGCAGCCGCGGUAAUACGGAGGGUGCGAGCGUUAAUCGGAAUUACUGGGCGUAAAGCGCGCGUAGGUGGCUUGAUAAGCCGGUUGUGAAAGCCCCGGGCUCAACCUGGGAACGGCAUCCGGAACUGCCAAGCUAGAGUGCAGGAGAGGAAGGCAGAAUUCCCGGUGUAGCGGUGAAAUGCGUAGAGAUCUGGAGGAAUACCGGUGGCGAAGGCGGCCCCCUGGACAAAGACUGACGCUCACGUGCGAAAGCGUGGGGAGCAAACAGGA
rnacentral:rRNA from 1 species